rnacentral:rRNA from 1 species
CCUACGGGCGGCUGCAGUAAGGAAUAUUGCGCAAUGGGCGAAAGCCUGACGCAGCGACGCCGCGUGGGGGAUGAAGGUCUUCGGAUUGUAAACCCCUUUCGGGAGGGAAGAUGGGAUGGGGUAACCCAUUCGGACGGUACCUCCAGAAGCAGCCACGGCUAACUUCGUGCCAGCAGCCGCGGUAAUACGAAGGUGGCAAGCGUUGUUCGGAUUUACUGGGCGUACAGGGAGCGUAGGCGGUUCGGUAAGCCCUCCGUGAAAUCUCCAGGCUUAACCUGGAAAGUGCAGAGGGGACUGCUGGGCUAGAGGAUGGGAGAGGAGCGCGGAAUUCCCGGUGUAGCGGUGAAAUGCGUAGAGAUCGGGAGGAAGGCCGGUGGCGAAGGCGGCGCUCUGGAACAUUUCUGACGCUGAGGCUCGAAAGCGUGGGGAGCAAACAGGAUUAGAUACCCUGGUAGUC